UACGUAGGGGGCAAGCGUUGUCCGGAUUUAUUGGGCGUAAAGAGCGUGUAGGCGGCCUGACAGGUCUGCUGUGAAAGCCCGAGGCUUACCCUCGGAAGUGCAUUGGAGACUGGCGGACUGGAGUCCCGGAGAGGAGGGUGGAAUUCCUGGUGUAGCGGUGAAAUGCGUAGAUAUCAGGAGGAACACCGGUGGCGAAGGCGGCCCUCUGGACGGUGACUGACGCUGAGACGCGAAAGCGUGGGGAGCGAACAGG
rnacentral:rRNA from 1 species